UUUUUUUUUGAUGUGAAACAUCUAUAGGCGCACCCCUAAACUGAAUCGUUGGCCUGGCGAUACUUGCCGUGGCGAGCAUUCGCCAGGCUAUACUAAGGUAUGCCUAUCUAUAUUCUGUGUAGUAGAGUGUACGGUGUGGCUUCUCACUCAGUUCGACGUUGUUGUUUACUACGGUACACAUAACCUGCGUUUUAUUUAAUUUUUCAUUUUAAUUUUUGACAAUAAAAUAUGUGUGACAGUGAUAACUCAGAAGAUCAAAGUGAUCAACCUUGUGCAAAGAAAGUGAAACUACACUAUGGUAUACUACCAAGUCAUCAUUCCCAACAAUCAUCAGAAGGAUCACAAAAUAUUAUUAUUGAAACUGGACGUCACCCUGAUCAGUUAAACACAAGGCAUACUAUCAAUGUUGUGUCAGACUUUAUUAAUCGAAUAGUACCAGACUAUUUUAAACUAUUGCAUCUAUUGGAAAUAUGUGUUCUUCACAUGUUAAACUACAAGACGGAAGUGAAUUAAUUAUGAUUGUAAUAUACAUUUCACCUAAUAACAAAAUGGAUUAUCUCAUUUCAUUUUUACAUGAAAGCUGCAUAUUUCAGUGUAAAUUUUGCAAGAGCUGAAUCAAUGCCAUUAAUGACAUUUCUUCAAAAAGAAUUUCAAUGGCAAAUCAAUAACGAUCCAAAAGAAUCUACUACCAAAUAUGGAACAACAAUAGAUGCUGUAUUUGUGAGAUAUCUUGAUGGUGUUUCAUCCAAUACUUUUGUAACGUACUUUAGUUAUCAUCGACCAAUCGUCACAGUAAUACCGGCAGAGGAAAAAUAGAAUAUAACUAUUAUUGAAGCCACAGAUGAAAAUAUUUAAAUUGUGGCAACUUGAUACUAAUAUCGAAUUUUUAUAUCAUGUAAAUAAAUGUUUAUUAAAUAAAGUUACCAUUUACUGUAAGAAUCUCGUAAUACUUCAUUUUUUCAUUAGGCUAUAUUUAAUUCCUGUAAUAAUAUUAUCUUUUAUGCAUAUUACUUGUACACACACGAUGUUUCACAUCUGCCAGGCGUCCCAUGACGGCUCAUUUUUUUUUUUUCUACUUCGGAAUAAAUUCAAAUUCGGCGCGCUGGCGGUUUCGUCCAAAUAAAUGACAAAUGAACCAGGUACCCUGUGUCAUUCGAAAACUUACUUUACACUUAUGUAACAAUAUGGGGUCCAUAAUUAGGCAUAAUACCAUAGGACAUUGCCACCCUUUGGUUUCACGUGUGAGUAAAAUCAGCAUGCCGCCUAGUUAAAAAGAAAUAAAUUUCAGCCAGUUCAUCAGUCUUGGCCCACGACUGGUCGAGAGGUUAUGAACCAGACUUUUCUCAGGCUUGGCACAAGCUUGGUACCCAGGUUUGAUAUCAGGGAAGGAUCCAAGCCUGGGCUUCCUCUGGUGUGACUAAGAUACCAAGCCGAUUCCUACCUCGGGUGUUGUGUCUUUUUUCUCUCAUCUUAAGAAAAUGAAUACUUCUAUAAAAAUUUUAAUUUAGUCUUAAUAUUCUUUGGAGUGAAGUUAAUUUCAAUAGCGCGCAAAAUGCAUGUGUUCGACAACAAAAAAAUCAUGUGCACAGGUGUGCAAAUACGUACGCCCCUACACGCCGACAGUGUUUACCUGAAAACCUGAUUUUUGAAGAGUACAUGUCUAAGCAUUUCCAAUAAAAAUUCGCCAAUCGAAAAAAAUCACGAUUACAAUGCUGCCGUUCAAAAGUAAAAAAAAGUGUCUUGAUCGAAUGUUGUUUUGAGCUACUCUAAAAUGUAGGUCACAAAGUACGAUUAAACCCUGAGUAUCCCUUCCGCAACAGACAAAACAGCGAAUACGAGUUUAUACGUCGCGUGUCACCCAGCCUCGUUCGCGUGCGCUGUAAGCUCCUUGGCCUAAGGCACACCAAGCAUUCCUCCCUCCCAGUCUACGUAAAUGCCUCGACAGGGCUAGAUAAGACAUAAUGAGAUAACCUCCCGAGUCUUAUAAGAUCACCAGCCACGCGACGAAACCUUGCAAAUCCACAUACAUCGUUAGCUUUAGCCCCUGGGGCCCACUGAUCUCCUGCCACUGGUGUAAUAAUUAAUAUUGCAGUUCUGCAUCUGCUGAUUAAUUUUCAUGAUCGUUGCACUCAGAGCUUUACAUCUAAUUUUUAAAAAUACUUUGUCACGAACUUUAUGAUUUAUUCCACAUUUAUAGUUAAAAAUUGAUUGGUAAUAAUUGAUUGAAAAUAAUUAAUUAAUGAAAAAAUUGUUUGGCAGCGUUUAUUAACAAGCGCCACGAUAAAUUUUAUGUUAAAUCCGAGGUCCACUUUAUCGUGAAUUUGAAGUAAUUUGUAUGGUGGAGGUAGGGUAGAAGGAGC